rnacentral:rRNA from 1 species
AUUGAACGCUGGCGGCAGGCUUAACACAUGCAAGUCGAACGCGUGGCGGACGUGUGAGUAAUGCUUGGGAAUCUAGCUUGUGGAGGGGGAUCACUACGGGAAACUGUAGCUAAUACCGCGUACACCAGGAUGAGCCCAAGUGGGAUUAGCUAGUUGGAGGGGUAACGGCUCACCAAGGCGACGAUCCGUAGCUGGUUGGAGAGGAGGACCAGCCACACUGGAACUGAGACACGGCCCAGACUCCUACGGGAGGCAGCAGUGGGGAAUGUUGGACAAGGGGCGCAAGCCUGAUCCAGCCAUGCCGCGUGUGCGAUGAAGGCCUUCGGGUUGUAAAGCACUUUCAGCAGGAAAGCGGUACCCGCAGAAUAAGCACCGGCUAACUACGUGCCAGCAGCCGCGGUAAUAC